GCAGCUAUAGUUUAUCGGUAAAAUAGUCGACUGUGACUCGACUGUGCUGGGUUCGAUUCCCAGUAGCUGCC
rnacentral:tRNA from 1 species